rnacentral:tRNA from 2 species
UAACAUAGAAGUAAAAUUUUACAUUUAGUUUCGACCUAAAAUUUAAGGUAUUAAACCUCAUGUUUU